ACGAACGUUGGCGGCGUGCUUAACCCAUGCAAGUCGCACGGAAAGGCCCUGCUUUUGUGGGGUGCUCGAGUGGCGAACGGGUGAGUAACACGUGAGUAACCUGCCCUUGACUUUGGGAUAACUUCAGGAAACUGGGGCUAAUACCGGAUAGGAGCUCCUGCUGCAUGGUGGGGGUUGGAAAGUUUCGGCGGUUGGGGAUGGACUCGCGGCUUAUCAGCUUGUUGGUGGGGUAGUGGCUUACCAAGGCUUUGACGGGUAGCCGGCCUGAGAGGGGGACCGGCCACAUGGGGACUGAGAUACGGCCCAGACUCCUACGGGAGGCAGCAGUGGGGAAUAUGGCACAAUGGGCGGAAGCCUGAUGCAGCAACGCCGCGGGCGGGAUGACGGCCUUCGGGGUGUAAACCGCUUUCGCCUGUGACGAAGCGUGAGUGACGGUAAUGGGUAAAGAAGCACCGGCUAACUACGUA
rnacentral:rRNA from 1 species